GGCUACACACGUGCUACAAUGGGUAGAACAGAGAGUCGCAAAGCUGUGAAGUGGAGCUAAUCUCAGAAAACUAUUCUUAGUUCGGAUUGUACUCUGCAACUCGAGUACAUGAGGUUGGAAUCGCUAGUAAUCGCGAAUCAGCAAUGUCGCGGUGAAUACGUUCUCGGGUCUUGUACACACCGCCCGUCACACCACGAGAGUUGGUUGCACCUGAAGUAGCAGGCCUAACCGUAAGGAGGGAUGCUCCGAGGGUGUGAUUAGCGAUUGGGGUGAAGUCGUAACAAGGUAUCCGUACGGGAACGU
rnacentral:rRNA from 1 species